AAUCGCUGUGAUGACUCUGUAAAAGUUCAAGCUCAACAGACCGGAUCGUCAGGGGUUUCUCUACUUUGAGAGCCUUUGCAUGUCGAGUCUACUUCUAUCCUGAGCUAUC
rfam:Ipomoea nil DNA, scaffold: scaffold0900, cultivar: Tokyo-kokei standard.